rnacentral:tRNA from 1 species
AUUUAUAUAAUUUAAUAUAAAAUAUUAUACUUUCACUAUAAAAAUAACUUACAUUUAUAAAUA